rnacentral:rRNA from 1 species
GACGAACGCUGGCGGCGUGCCUAACACAUGCAAGUCGAGCGGAGAUACAUUGAAGAUUUAUCGGAUAUGUAUCUUAGCGGCGGACGGGUGAGUAACGCGUGGGUAACCUGCCUUAUACAGGGGGAUAACACAGGGAAACUUGUGCUAAUACCGCAUAAUAUCAUUGUAUGGCAUCAUAUGGUGAUCAAAGGAGCAAUCCGGUAUAAGAUGGACCCGCGUCCAAUUAGCUAGUUGGUGGUGUAACGGACCACCAAGGCGACGAUUGGUAGCCGAACUGAGAGGUUGAUCGGCCACAUUGGGACUGAGACACGGCCCAGACUCCUACGGGAGGCAGCAGUGGGGAAUAUUGCACAAUGGGGGAAACCCUGUAUGCAGCAACGCCGCGUGAAGGAUGAAGGUUUUCGGAUCGUAAACUUCUUUGAUGAGGGACGAAUAAUGACGGUACCUCAAGAACAAGCCACGGCUAACUACGUGCCAGCAGCCGCGGUAAAAGUCACG